AGUGAACGCUGGCGGCGUGCUUAACACAUGCAAGUCGAACGAGAACGGAUUAUAGCUUGCUAUAAUUGUCAGCUAAGUGGCGCACGGGUGAGUAAUGUAUAGGUAAUAUGCCUCUUACUAAGGGAUAACAAAUGGAAACGUUUGCUAAUACCUUAUACUCCUUAUUAACAUAAGUUAAUAAGGGAAAGAUUUAUUGGUAAGAGAUUAGCCUGUAUUGUAUCUGUUAGUUGGUGGGGUAAUGGCUUACCAAGACUAUGACACAUAACUGGUUUGGGAGGAUGAUCAUGAACAAUGGAACUGAGACACGGGCCAGAAUCCUACGGGAGGCAGAAGUGGGGAAUAUUGCACAAUGGACGAGAGUCUGAUGCAGCAACGCCGCGUGGAGGAUGACACAUUUCGGUGCGUAAACUCCUUUUAUAUGAGAAGAGAAUGACGGUAUUAUAUGAAUAAGCACCGGCUAACUCCGUGCCAGCCGCCGCCGUAAAAC
rnacentral:rRNA from 1 species